UAGUAACGGCGAGUGAAGCGGCAACAGCUCAAAUUUGAAAUCUGGCUUCGGCCCGAGUUGUAAUUUGCAGAGGAAGCUUUAGGCGCGGCACCUUCUGAGUCCCCUGGAACGGGGCGCCAUAGAGGGUGAGAGCCCCGUAUAGUUGGAUGCCUAGCCUGUGUAAAGCUCCUUCGACGAGUCGAGUAGUUUGGGAAUGCUGCUCAAAAUGGGAGGUAAAUUUCUUCUAAAGCUAAAUACCGGCCAGAGACCGAUAGCGCACAAGUAGAGUGAUCGAAAGAUGAAAAGCACUUUGAAAAGAGGGUUAAAUAGCACGUGAAAUUGUUGAAAGGGAAGCGCUUGUGACCAGACUUGCGCCGGGCAGAUCAUCCGGUGUUCUCACCGGUGCACUCUGCCCGGCUCAGGCCAGCAUCGGUUCUCGCGGGGGGAUAAAGGCCCUGGGAACGUAGCUCCUCCGGGAGUGUUAUAGCCCGGGGCGUAAUGCCCUCGCGGGGACCGAGGUUCGCGCAUCUGCAAGGAUGCUGGCGUAAUGGUCAUCAGCGACC
rnacentral:rRNA from 1 species